GGGAGUAUAGCUCAGUGGUAGAGCACAUGCUUAGCACACACAAGGUCCUAGGUUCAAUCCCCAGCACCUCCA
rnacentral:tRNA from 1 species